GGUGCGGAACACGUGUGCACGCUUUAUCUGGGGGAUAGCCUUUCGAAAGGAAGAUUAAUACCCCAUAAUAUGUUGAAUGGCAUCAUUCGACAUUGAAAACUCCGGUGGAUAGAGAUGGGCACGCGCAAGAUUAGAUAGUUGGUGAGGUAACGGCUCACCAAGUCUACGAUCUUUAGGGGGCCUGAGAGGGUGAUCCCCCACACUGGUACUGAGACACGGACCAGACUCCUACGGGAGGCAGCAGUGAGGAAUAUUGGACAAUGGGUGAGAGCCUGAUCCAGCCAUCCCGCGUGAAGGACGACUGCCCUAUGGGUUGUAAACUUCUUUUGUAUAGGGAUAAACCUACCCUCGUGAGGGUAGCUGAAGGUACUAUACGAAUAAGCACCGGCUAACUCCGUGCCAGCAGCCGCGGUAAUACGGAGGGUGCAAGCGUUAUCCGGAUUAUGGGUUAAAGGGUCCGUAGGCGGAUCUGUAACGUCAGUGGGUGAAAUCUCACAGGUUAACUGUGAAAACUGCCAUUGAUACUGGAGGUCUUGAAGUGUUGUGGAAGUAGUGGAAUAACGUAGGUGUAACGGGAAAUGGCAUAAGAUUUACUUCAGA
rnacentral:rRNA from 1 species